rnacentral:rRNA from 1 species
CGUAAUAAUAGAAACUAACCAGGAUUCCCUUAGUAACGGCGAGUGAACUGGGAUACCAAUAUACCAUCUGUGCGUACCUCGGUGCGUACAAAUUUUAGCCCGUCGAUACUAUCCUAGCAUAGUACUGGCUUCGGCCGGUAACCUAUCUAUGCGGGAAUUGUAGCAUCGUACAAAAAAUAUAUUAUACAAUGUAUAUACGCGCAUUGCAACACACACACACUUAUAUACUGCGUACACUUACUUUCGUAAACACACAGCGCUCCCGCGUUGGAAAGCAAGUCUAUAUCCCUUUUUGGGUAUGCCAUAGAGUGUGACAGCCACGUUUCAACUCUACGUACGUACGCACUGCAUACGCUAUACACAUACACACGUAUUUUAUAUAUAACCUGAGUCAAGUUAUUU